rnacentral:lncRNA from 1 species
AUGGAGCAGCCCUCUUCCCUUGUCACACGCAGUGUUUUCCAGCUCCCCACAGCGGACCCACACUCACUGAUCAUCAGAAAGCAGCGCUCAAGGACCGCCACGGCGCGGGAUCCGGGUUCCGGGCGCCACACGGACGAAGCAUCGCCGCCGUCCCCGGGUCAGCGAUUGGAACCGGCGCCGGCGGCUGGCAGGUUCACACUGGCGCGUCCGCAGCUCGGGAACUUCUGCAGACUAGCGGCGUGGGCGCGGCCGGCAGCGAUGCGCAUGCGCCAGGACGCCCUCCCACUCCCUGCCCUGCAAGGCCCCACCCACCGCGCGGGCUCCUCCCACCGUAAGGCUCCACCCACCGCUCGGGAUCCUCCCAUCCUACAGGCUCCUCCCACCGUAAGGCUCCACCCACCGCUCGGGAUCCUCCCAUAGUACAGGCU